AAUAGCUCAAGAGAUCCUGGAAACCUGCGACUCUCAACAAGUAGAGGAGUAGUCCUCAGACUACAGGUGGAGGCAGUGCAUGUGGUAAGACUUCCUCCACAGCCUGUUUCCAGAGCCCUGGGUUGGCUGAGGGAACCAGGAAGACAGAGGGAGACACCCAGAGACCAGCAACAACAAAAGUCUGUUAUGGUCUCUGAGGAAAUGGCAAGAAGAGAGGAUUAAAUUGGAGACUGAUGUGAGCUGGAAAUAAAGAGGAUCUCAGGCCAAGCAACAGAGCAGAUACUCCACUGAUAUUCAGGAAACAUACAGCACCUGCAUGCAUGGUUGAGCCAGAACAGGGAAGAUGUUGGUGUGAUCAUCCAUCUCUCUCUGGCUGCUGUGUUUGUUGCUAAUGUCUCAAAGACUCACUUGGGAAUAGAUGCUUCUCCCUGGAGCCCCUUGGUACCAGCCCAAGAUGACUUACCAAGGUGCUCAGUACCUUUAUGCAGGGAAAGCCAUCUGGUUGAUGCAAUCCCUGCUACCUCUCCUGCUGGUGAGAUC
rnacentral:lncRNA from 1 species